rnacentral:rRNA from 1 species
GCUCUUGGAAACGGGUGGUAAUGCUGGAUGCUCCAACUUGACGCAUGUCUUGUUGGGAAAGUGUUUAGUGGCAUGGGAUGGGGUCGCGUCCUAUCAGCUUGUAGGCGGGGUAAUGGCCCACCUAGGCUUCGACGGGUAGCCGGCCUGAGAGGGCGGACGGCCACAUUGGGACUGAGAUACGGCCCAGACUCCUACGGGAGGCAGCAGCC